GACCGCCACCAUUAUCCUGCCGCGUGUGCUUCAGAGACACUGCCGUGCUCCCUGAAGAAUGUGGGCACUGUCAGCCCACAUGUUCCACGCUGUCUCGCAGAGGGCCCCUGGCACCCCCUCUCGAAAGCAGCUCCCCACAGUCACUAUGGUAACUCCUCCCAGCCAGGCGCGGUCCCGGGUGACGCGAACAGAGAACUCACCAAGCCGUGAACUGCAAGGGAGAACAAUUCAGUGCCCGGAGUUGCUGAAUCCCUUGAUGAAAUUUAUGGGAAUUCAGGAACGCUGUAUUCACAUGUAUCUGCCGGAGGAUUUCCAUGGUAUCCAUCUCGGGUCGUUCACGCAAUGAUCAGCACCUGCAGUUCCCCUGUCUCUCCAGACAUGGCCCAUCUCCUGGAUGAUGAGCUUUGUCUGAUUUCAUACAUCACUGCCUUAUACUGCAUGCUGAGCAACACAUUUGAUUUGCCUUCUCUUUGCUCUGUUUACUUUUUGAAGAGCUAACACCAGUGGGUCAGAAGGAACUCUGAACCCAGUUACGCUGCUAUUCUGGGUGAUUCUUUAAGGUGAAAAACAUAUUAGCAUACAAGACCUCACCUUAUUUGCUUUUCUGUCUUAAAACAGCAUUGGUUGCAAUAAGGUGUUAGAAAUCCUUUAGUUUUCCGAGCUGCCCCUACUGGAGGCUUUCUUCCAGUGAGCCCCUCCUGCCAGAGGGGCUAGGUUGGGAACCUCUUUGCUCUGGUUAGUUUUCAUUCCUUAUACUAUUUUGUUUCUACCCAAGCUUCACGUUUUUUUCUCAGUUUUUCUCACACACAGACUUUCCAGGUCACAGGUAUCAGAUGUGAUCCUCCACACAUAAGCUUUAAGAUCUCAGGUUCUGAAUCAGCUUGUUUAGGAACCUUCAAUUUACACUUGGGGAAUAGAACAGUAAUACUAGCCCUUCUCACAAACUGCAUUGUAAUAGUACUUAUGCAAGGUGCCAGCCUCUUAAUGCACCUAAAACUCCCGGGAAUUGUCUGCAGGUUAUUCUGUUUAUCACUUCAGCAUUUCUCCUUUAUUUAAAAUCUCUUUUACAAAAU